GCUAGGAAGCAGAAUGACGCCGCGUUCAAGAAAAUUGGGCGUGGAGGAAAGUCCGGACUGCUGAAAGCAAGGUGCUAGGCGUUAAGCCAAGGCGCUGUUGGGCAUGGCCGACAGCGACAGUGAAGCCACAGAGACGAGUAAUCCACCUUAGGUGGACCAGAUGAAACGGCUUUAACCACCUAUUGCGGUUAAAGACUUAGUCGGUAAUAAACUGACAAGGGUAAUUCUCCCUGCAGCAACUUCCGAACUGGCCGUUAACAGGACGCUUUCCCGAGGCCAAAAGUAUGAAGGCAUUAGAAAAAUGUCAUUCCAAGACAGAAUCCGGCUUAUAGCUUCCUAGCUAAU
rnacentral:RNase_P_RNA from 1 species